GGACUACCGGGGUAUCUAAUCCCGUUCGCUCCCCUGGCUUUCGCGCCUCAGCGUCAGAAAGGGUCCAGCACGCCGCCUUCGCCACCGGAGUUCCUACGGAUAUCAACGCAUUUCACCGCUCCACCCGUAGUUCCGCAUGCCCCUACCCUCCUCGAGACCUCCAGUAUCCGCGGCAGUUCCCCGGUUGAGCCGGGGGAUUUCACCGCGGACUUGGCGGCCCGCCUACGCGCCCUUUAAGCCCAGUGAUUCCGAACAACGUUCGCACGGUUCGUCUUACCGCGGCUGCUGGCAC
rnacentral:rRNA from 1 species